UACGGAGGGUGCAAGCGUUAUCCGGAUUCACUGGGUUUAAAGGGUGCGUAGGCGGUCAGGUAAGUCAGUGGUGAAAUCCCCGAGCUUAACUUGGGAACUGCCGUUGAUACUAUCUGUCUUGAAUAUUGUGGAGGUAAGCGGAAUAUGUCAUGUAGCGGUGAAAUGCUUAGAUAUGACAUAGAACACCGAUAGCGGAGGCAGCUUACUACGCGAUUAUUGACACUGAGGCACGAAAGCGUGGGGAGCAAACAGG
rnacentral:rRNA from 1 species